rnacentral:rRNA from 1 species
CAGCAGCCGCGGCAAUACGUAGGUGGCAAGCGUUGUCCGGAAUUAUUGGGCGUAAAGGGCUCGCAGGCGGUUUCUUAAGUCUGAUGUGAAAGCCCCCGGCUCAACCGGGGAGGGUCAUUGGAAACUGGGAAACUUGAGUGCAGAAGAGGAGAGUGGAAUUCCACGUGUAGCGGUGAAAUGCGUAGAGAUGUGGAGGAACACCAGUGGCGAAGGCGACUCUCUGGUCUGUAACUGACGCUGAGGAGCGAAAGCGUGGGGAGCGAACAGGAUUAGAUACCCCCGUAGUCCCUGUCUCUUAUAC